rnacentral:rRNA from 1 species
GACGAACGCUGGCGGCGUGCCUAAUACAUGCAAGUCGAACGAACAGACCAGGAUUUUGCUCCUCUGUCGUUAGCGGCGGGCGGGUGAGUAACACGUGGAUAACCUACCUAUAAGACUGGGAUCACUUCGGGAAACCGGAGCAAAUACCGGAUAAUAUAUUGAACCGCAGGGUUCAUUGGUGAAAGACGGUUUUGGUGUCAGUUCUAGCUGGAUCCGCGCCGCAUUAGCUAGUUGUGAGGGUAAUGGCCUACGAAGGCAAGGAUGCGUAGCCGACAGGAGCGGUUGGUCGGCCGCACUGGAGCGGGGACCGGGUCCAUGGGACUGCGGGAGGGAGCAGUAGGGAAUCUUACGCAAUGGGGGAGAGCCUGGCGGAGCGGCGCGGAGUCAGUGAUGAAGGUCUUCGGAGCGUAAAACUCUGUUAUUAGGGAAGAACAAAUGUGUAAGUAGCUAUACAGGGCUUGACGGUACCUAAUCAGAAAGCCACGGCUAACUACGUG